rnacentral:lncRNA from 1 species
GCAUUCUCUAAAUGUCCUAAAUGUCAAACAUGAAACAUAUAGGCUACAGUAUUCGUAUUUGUAACAUACACGCACAAACGAGUCUUUGAUUUAAUAUCUUUGAGUAGGCUAUUGUCGGAUUAUAUUACCGUAGGUUUGAUAACAGGGAGGUAUACUUCGACAUAUUUCUUGAGCAUCAAGUUUCAACAGCUUCUGGUUUUUCGUAUCUGAGGAUGGUUCGGAAGUUUCAGCAGUCCGAGUAGCAUUGUUUACAAGCAACAUUGUUUGCGAUAUUUCAGAAAUCAAAAGAUCUCUAUAUUUCGUUACACAUCACAGUAUUAAAUAAAUCCUUGUAGUUUAGGAUAGACACCAACAGCUAAAUAACAGCCACAUCGGUCAGUACUGGUGUAGAAAUAUAUUUUCUUGUAACGUUUGCGACGUGUUGAUUUCUUCGACGAGCUGUAUCGGCAUAAUUUGUCUAUCGAAAUCUGAUCUAUCUUUGCUCACCGACAUUCUGCGCACAAUGAGAUUUGAUAUUUACCAUUG